AUUGGCAACACUGAAAGUGACUUGAAUCUAUAGGUUAUUAAAAUAUAAUAAUUACGGUUUUGACCGAAUUCUGCAAUUCAAUUAAGUUUUAUUCUAUCUGUGAAGUGGAGUUUUUGAGACAAUUAACUACUAAUUUAAUUUUUGAAUUGACAUCCAACAAAAAUAGUUGUAAUAUAUAAUCAUGUUUCGUCUUCCAUUCGGCGAAAGGGUAGAUCCCAUGGAAGAAAAACGACAAGCGAGGGAAAACACUAUAAAUAGCGUUAUUACAUUUUGUGUACUUUGCGUUGCGAUAAGAAUUGCUCCCAUCAUCUUGGAGCACAGUGGGGUGCAGUAGGAGAUUAUGGGGGGAUGGGCACUGCGGCAAUGGAGCCAUGGGGCAGUAUUUGCAAGCCUCCCUUUGUAGAAAUAAAACAAGUUACAUAAUAAAUUA